UGCACUCAAUUGGAAAGAGGAGUGGCGGACGGGUGAGUAACACGUGGGUAACCUACCCAUCAGAGGGGGAUAACACUUGGAAACAGGUGCUAAUACCGCAUAACAGUUUAUGCCGCAUGGCAUCAAGAGUGAAAGGCGCUUUCGGGUGUCGCUGAUGGAUGGACCCGCGGUGCAUUAGCUAGUUGGUGAGUGUAACGGCUCACCAAGGCCACGAUGCAUAGCCGACCUGAGAGGGUGAUCGGCCACACUGGGACUGAGACACGGCCCAGACUCCUACGGGAGGCAGCAGUAGGGAAUCUUCGGCAAUGGACGAAAGUCUGACCGAGCAACGCCGCGUGAGUGAAGAAGGUUUUCCGGAUCGUAAAACUCUGUUGUUAGAGAAGAACAAGGACGUUAGUAACUGAACGUCCCCUGACGGUAUCUACCAGAAAGCCACGGCUAACUACGUGCCAGCAGCCGCGGUAAUACGGUAGGUGGCAAGCGUUGUCCGGAUUUAUUGGGCGUAAAGCGAGCGCAGGCGGUUUCUUAAGUCUGAUGUGAAAGCCCCCGGCUCAACCGGGGAGGGUCAUUGGAAACUGGGAGACUUGAGUGCAGAAGAGGAGCACUGGAAUUCCAUGUGUAGCGGUGAAAUGCGUAGAUAUAUGGAGGAACACCAGUGGCGAAGGCAGGCUCUCUGGUCUGUAACUGACGCUGAGGCUCGAAAGCGUGGGGAGCAAACAGGAUUAGAUACACUGGUAGUCCACGGCCGUGAAACGAU
rnacentral:rRNA from 1 species